GUUCCAGGACAGCCAGGGCUACACAGAGAAACCCUGUUUCAAAAUAAAAGAAGGAAGGAAAGAGGGAGGGAGGGAGGGAGGAAGGAAAAUGAAAGAAAAAGAAAGAAAAGGUCACUGUGACUAUGUACAAGGGAGACAGGUCCAUUUCUGGAAACCCAUGCCUUAGCUUCAUUGCUGUUGCCAUGAUGGAUGAUCUUGAACAGGUUCCCGGGCCUCUUGGUGUCCCUGUUUCUCCAGUUGAUCAACGAAGGAAUCACGCAGGGUCUUGAAUUUAGCUCCUAGAUGCUGGGGGCCAAGUGGCUCAAGGACAGAAGAGAAAAGUAAGGUCUGUGCUCUUGGGGUCAUGAGGGGCCUGCUGUGAGGGAUGAGAGGAGCAGGCAGAGAAAGGAAGCAGAGCCUUUCUUGUCCAGGGAGCAAGGGCUGCGUUCCAGGCUGAUGUUUUAAGUUCAGCUGUUUAGAAAUCCCACCCUGCCUGCCCUGGAGGAAAAAGUAGCCUGUCUCUCUGUCUAUGCUUUUGCUGCCACCUGCAGGCCGAGCUCUGUAACAACCACCGUCUUCAGCAAGCCAACCCACUGUACAGACAGCACUCCCAUUCAGCUGCUCAAGAGGAUCUGGACUUCUGGACACAAGUGAUGCUUCCUGAUGCUUCCGACUCAGCCUCCCAGAUAGCUGGGGCUUCAGCCAGUAGACAAGAGAGCACAGCAUAGAAGAGCAUCUAUCUCCAGUAAACAGGUGAGAGAUCUUCACCUUGAGUCCUCAUCAAGGAAAAGAGAAGCCACAUUACAAAGGAGGAACUGCACGUAAUACUAGAUGGUGUCCAGUCAUUUCUAGCUAACAGGCACCGAGACAGCACGUGAGUGGAAAUGACAGGGACGUGCUACUGUGUAAUGUCGAUGCGGAAGCUUCCACUGGCGAGAGGUCAUAUGUGGUGGAAGAUGUCAACGUGGCACGGAGAGCCACAGAUGAGAUGGCAUUGCAUGGACUCCUGAGACCAGGGCUGACCCCACCAUCCAUCUGCCUGGAACCUCAAGCUGCCUGGAAGCCGCUGUCACCAUGACUUCAUAGACGCUUGCCAGGGGACCUUGGCUUGGACUUUAAUUGGCAGUGUUUUGGCAGGGUGGAAACAAACAGGGCCAGAAGAGGACACCAGACAGAUGGUUGUGAACCAGCCACCAUGCGGUUAUCGGAAACUGAACUCAGGACCUUUGGAAGAGCCUUUGGAAGAGCGGGCGAUGCUCUUAACCACUGAGCCAUCUCUCCAGCCCCCCCCCCCCGGGGGGCAGGUUUUGAGAUCAAGUUUUUGUUCAAGUUUCUCUCAGUGUGACAUUGAGUCUACUUCCUAUUGCUGCCAUUCUCCCCGCCAUGAUGAUAAUGGACUAAACCUCUAAACUAUCAAGAUGUAGAACUUCAGUUACUUUUCCAGCACUGUGUCUGCCUGCAUGCUGCCAGGCUUCCCACCAUACUGCCUGCCAUGAUGAGAAUGGACUGAACCUCCAAAACUUUAUGGAUUCUCUGUGUAACAGUCCUAGCUGUCCUGGAACUAGCUCUUGUAAACCACACUGGUCUUGAAUGCACAGAGAUCUACUGGCCUCUGCCUCUCAAGUGCUGGAAUUAAAGGUGUGCACCGUCACUACCCAGCAAGGACCAUGCUUAAACCAGACCUUGGUCUUCUUUUCCUUAAUCCAUCAUAGGGCACACUCCAUGAGGUCAUAGGUGUGUACGUGGGGACAGAAAGCAUUGUAAUGGGAGUAGAAACCAUACUCGUUACCAAAAGCAAUCUAUAGAUUCAACGCAAUGCCCAUCAAAAUCCCAGCAAAAUUCUUCAAAGACCUCGAAAGAACGGUACUCAACUUCAUUUGAAAAAGCAAAAACCCCAGGAUAGCCAAAACAAUCCUGUACAAUAAAAGAAUUUCUGGAGGCAUCACAAUCCCUGACUUCAAACUCUACUACAGAGCUACAGUACUGAAAACAGCCUGGUAUUGGCCUAAGAACAGACAGGAGGACCAAUGGAACCGAAUAGAAGACUCGAAUAUCAAUCCACAUAUCUUCGAACACCUUAUCUUUGAUAAAGAAGCAAAAAAUAUCAAAUGGAAAAAGAAAGCAUAUUUAAUAAGUGGUCCUGGCAUAACUGGAUAUCAACAUGUAGAAAAAUGAAAAUAGACCCAUCUCUAUCACCAUGCACAAAACUCAAGUCCAAAUGGAUUAAAGACCUCAACAUAAAGCCAGCCACACUGAACUUUAUAGAAGAGAAAGUGGGAAAUACACUUGAACGCAUUGGCACAGGAACUACUUCCUAAAUAUAACCCCAGCAGCACAGACACUGAGAGAAACAAUAAAUGGGACCUCCUGAGACUAAAAAGCUUCUGUAAAGCAAAGGACACGGUCAACAAGGCAAAACGAUAGCCUACAGAAUGGGAAAAGAUCUUCACUAACCCCACAUCAGACAGAGGUCUGAUCUCCAAAAUAUACAAAGAACUCAAGAAAUUGGUCACCAAAAGAUCACAUAAUCCAAUUUAAAAAAAUGGAGUACAGACCUAAACAAAGAACUCUCAACAGAAGAAUCUAAAAUGGCUGAAAGACACUUAAGGAAAUGUUCAGCAUCCUUAGUUAUCAGAGAAAUGCAAAUCAAAACAACUCUGAGAUUCCAUCUUACACCUGUAAGAAUGGCCAAGAUCAAAAACACUGAUGACAACUUAUACUGGAGAGGUUGUGGGGAAAAAGGAACACUUCUGCAUUGCUGGUGGGAGUGCAAGCUGGUACAGCUGCUUUGGAUGUCAGUGUGGCGAUUUCUCAGAAAAUUAGGAAACAACCUUCCUCAAGACCCAGUAAUACCACUUUUGGGUAUAUACCCAAAGGAUGCUCAAUCGUGCCACAAGGACAUGUGUUCAACUAUGUUCAUAGCAGCUUUGUUUGUCAUAGCCAGAACCUGGAAACAACCUAAAUGCCCCUCAAUUGAAGAAUGGAUAAGAACAAUAUGGUAUAUUUACACAAUGGAGUACUACACAGCAGAAAAAAAUAACGACAGCUUGAAUUUUGUAGGAAAAUGGAUGGAUCUAGAAAACAUUAUUUUGAGUGAGAUAACCCAGAUCCAGAAAGACAAUUAUCACAUGUACUCAGUCAUAGGUGGUUUUUAAACAUAAAGCAAAGAAAGCCAGCCUACAAACCACAAUCCCAGAGAACUUAGACAACAAUGCGACACUAAGAGAGACUUACAUAGAUCUCAUCUACAUGGGAAGUAGA